CUUGUGCGGACUUGGCGUGGCUUUCGGGUUGCGUCAAAGCAUUUAUUAGACUAAACCAUCUACUAUGCUCGCAUAGUAAGGGGAAUCUGGAUAACUUUGCUGAUCGUAUGGCCCAGCGCCGGCGACGUUUCAAUUGAGUUUCUGCCCUAUCAACUUGUUGGUAAGGUAUUGGCUUACCAAGGUUGCAACGGGUAACGGGGAAUCAGGGUUCGAUUCCGGAGAGGGAGCCUGAGAAACGGCUACCACAUCCAAGGAAGGCAACAGGCGCGCAAAUUACCCAAUCUAGACAGUAGGAGGUGGUGAAGAGAAUUACUAAGUGGUGGUCCAAUGGAUCACUUGUUUGGAAUGAACGUAACUUAAGAAAUUCGAUGAGAAACAACUGGAGGGCAAGUCCUGGUGCCAGCAGCCGCGGUAAUUCCAGCUCCAGUAGUUUGCUUUAAAGUUGUUGCGUUUAAAACGCUCGUAGUUGGAUCACGCAGCAUUGCCCGGUAAUCUAUUGUGGGAGAUUGGAGGGUGGGCUCGUCUCGUACGGCCUCCCACCGAGUCCGGCAUUAGAUGUUGACGCCGAGCUUUGCUAGUUGCACGUGAGAUAGAUGGUUGGCCUUUGAAUGCGCUGAUAUUCUCGUCUUGCGGAGUGUGCCUUGAAUAAAACAGAGUGCUUAAAAGCAGGUCGUUGCCUGAAUGUUAUAGCAUGGAACGAACAAUCGUGUAUAUGUGUGCGUCUCGGGGAUGGUGAUGAAUCUUUUGGUUUAUUGUUGCGGAGAUGCGCACGGGCACCCACCCAAAAUAUGGCUGUUGGGUUCCAUAUACGGUGAUGA
rnacentral:rRNA from 1 species